UGGGGAAUAUUGCACAAUGGGCGCAAGCCUGAUGCAGCCAUGCCGCGUGUGUGAAGAAGGCCUUCGGGUUGUAAAGCACUUUCAGCGAGGAGGAAGGGUAGUGUGUUAAUAGCACAUUGCAUUGACGUUACUCGCAGAAGAAGCACCGGCUAACUCCGUGCCAGCAGCCGCGGUAAUACGGAGGGUGCAAGCGUUAAUCGGAAUUACUGGGCGUAAAGCGCACGCAGGCGGUUUGUUAACUCAGAUGUGAAAUCCCCGCGCUUAACGUGGGAACUGCAUUUGAAACUGGCAAGCUAGAGUCUUGUAGAGGGGGGUAGAAUUCCAGGUGUAGCGGUGAAAUGCGUAGAGAUCUGGAGGAAUACCGGUGGCGAAGGCGGCCCCCUGGACAAAGACUGACGCUCAGGUGCGAAAGCGUGGGGAGCAAACA
rnacentral:rRNA from 1 species